ensembl:rRNA 5S_rRNA 5S ribosomal RNA
GUCUACUGCCAUGUCACCCUGAACGUGGCUGAUCUCAUCUGAUCCCAGAAGCUAGGCAGGUUCGGUGCUGGUUAGUACUUAGAUGGGAGAAAGAGAAAGGAAGGAAGAGUGAAGA